UGCAUUUCUUGGUGUGGGAUAAUGUUAGAAGGGUCAAGGUGGUACCUUUUAAGCAUAGAGAUGUGAAAAACAUCAUGCAAAACCGCGAACUCUAGAGGUAGAACAAGGCAGUACGCCACAGGUCUGAUACACUCCAUGAUCAUAAAAGGUCCCAUAAAUCAAGGGCUCAACUUACUUUUCUUACUAAAUUGCAUUUUACCUUUGUAAGGAAAGAUCUUGAGGAAGACAUGAUCACCAACAGAAAAC
rnacentral:lncRNA from 1 species